rnacentral:tmRNA from 1 species
GGGGAUGUCCAGGUUUCGACGGGGGAGGCUGGUCCCGAAUUGCGAGCCGAGAGGUACCGAUCUCGUAAAAUCAGUGCAAACAAUUAAGUGCCAAUAAUCGCACUUCCUACGCUGCAAUGCCACUCGCUGCCUAAGCGAUAAGCAACGCCGCAAUGACCUCUUCAGGUCACGUUCGCCUGCAUCGUACUCCUGACCGAUCGCAGAGCGGGCGACACAAAGUCAGGAUGCUGCUCGUGAAUUCACGGCACGAAGCAUAAGAGGACUUUCGGGUCUGAGUGAAUUGUCCGCAAGGGGCUUGUCCGUUUGACCCUUGACGGAUGAAAUCAACAAACUGACUACGCUCGUAGUACAUUCGAGGGUCGAAUCUUUCGGACGCGGGUUCGAUUCCCGCCAUCUCCACAA